rnacentral:tRNA from 1 species
GAAAUAUCUAAUAAUUUAGCUUCUAACUAAAUUUUAACGUUUAAAUACGUUUUAUUUCU